UAGAUCACCGAAGUUAAGCAUCAUUGGGAGCGGUCAGUACUUGGGUGGGUGACCACCUGGGAACACUGCGUGCCGUU